AAAGCGUGCGCAGGCGGUUUUGUAAGUCUGACGUGAAAUCCCCGGGCUCAACCUGGGAAUUGCGUUGGAGACUGCAAGGCUAGAAUCUGGCAGAGGGGGGUAGAAUUCCACGUGUAGCAGUGAAAUGCGUAGAGAUGUGGAGGAACACCGAUGGCGAAGGCAGCCCCCUGGGUCAAGAUUGACGCUCAUGCACGAAAGCGUGGGGAGCAAACAGGAUUAGAUACCCCGGU
rnacentral:rRNA from 1 species